UUUUGGACGUGCAGAUCGGGCCUCUAGCACGAGGACAGCUACGGCCCCGCCCCAUCUGAUCGCGCGACGUGGACCACUCGGCGGUCGGCGCCCAAGACAAGAGCGGUCUGCUCCUCCUUGUUCGGUUACUCCCACCAAACUCCGCCCUCUCCGCUCUCCACCCUCGCUGCCGGCCGGCCGGUCGGCUGGCCAGCCUGUGCCACGGUCCCUCCACCAUGCCACUUCUCCUCCACUGCUCGCUGCCGCCGGCGUCCCCUCUCCUCCGCCCCUGCUCUGCGGCGCCCGGCCACCGCGGCGUCGUCCCCAUCCAGUCCACGCCUCUCGGUCUCAGCGCCGCCAGGCCCCGCCGACUCCCACCCGUUCUCGCCACGAACAACAGCGUCGUGCUAGGCUGCGGGCUGCUGACGCUGGACUACCUCGCCGCGGUGGACGCGUACCCGCGGCCCGACGACAAGAUCCGCACCGAGGAUCUGCAGAUAUCCGGAGGUGGGAACGCCGGGAACGCAUUGACUGGCGCGACUCGUCUGGGCUUGAACACGAGGCUGAUCUCCAAGGUGGCCAACGACGAAUUCGGUGCAACUGUUCUUUCAGAACUCAAGGAAGCUGGAAUUGAUAUAUCUCACAUUAUAAUUUCUGAUGGUGGGAACACAACAUUUAGUUUUGUAAUUAUUGACAAGCAAACGAAAACUCGUACAUGCAUAAUCACAUCAGGCAAUCCUCCAAUGGUUCCUAGCGACUUGUCAAUGCCAAGUUUGUCAGAUGCAUUGCAAGAUGUAAACUUGUUAUUUCUAGAUGGAUAUUCACACGAGAUGGCACUGGCUGUUGCUAAGCAGGCUGAUCAGAUGAAGAUUCCAAUAUUGGUUGAUGCGGAGCCAGAAAGAACAAAGGCAGAAUUGGAAGGUAUGCUCAGUCUAGCAAGCUAUAUUGUCUGUUCGGGGAAAUUUCCGAAGAAAUGGACAUCGAUCUCAUCCAUACCCUGUGCACUACUAGAGAUCCUUCUGCAACAUCCCCGUGCAAAAUUUGUAAUUGUAACCCUUGGAGAAAAUGGUUGCAUGAUGCUUGAGAGGAGCGAAGACGGUGAUGAUUCUGGGAUAAAUGAAGCAGAUAUAGAGAACGUUGCUGAAUCCUUAAAGUUGGAAGUGCAUAAUGAUGGCAUCCUACCGACCUGUGUAUCAUCCAAGUUCAUGAGACUUUCCGCGAGAGGGCUUGGGACAAUAGUUGGAAGACUGUUAAUAGGAACAGCAGAGAUUAUUCCAGCUUCAGAGCUUGUUGAUACCACUGGUUGUGGGGAUGCUUUUAUAGGAGCAGUACUUCAAGGACUAUCCACCAAGAUGCCGCCCGAAAAGAUGCUGCCUUUUGCAUGUCAAGUGGCGGGCAUCAAAUGCCGGGCAAUUGGCGCACGGGCUGGUCUACCCUGGCUGUCUGAUCCACGCCUGGCUAAGUUCCUGUGUUAGUUAUUGUCAAAACUGUGCCACUGUCUUGCCAGUAAUAAAAAAGGCACGAUUGUCUUGUCCAGAAGUCAGCAGGUUCAGACAUGAUUUGAUCACAUUAAGAUGGCGGUUGCAAAAGGAGAUCAUAGCAGCCUCUGAUUUCUGAACUUGUAUGGUCAACACAUGGGUCAUAUUGCUGCGCCCAAUCCGAUGUCCCCACGUUGUCAACCCAGCGGUCAACGCGUCUGACCAGGCGCCAUGGGCAACGACACAAGAGGCAGCAAGUCAUCCUGCCGGCGCCCGCCGCCGACA